rnacentral:rRNA from 1 species
ACGGAAGGCAGCAGUGGGGAAUAUUGGGCAAUGGGCGAAAGCCUGACCCAGCAACGCCGCGUGAAGGAAGAAGGUCUUCGGAUUGUAAACUUCUUUUAUGAGGGACGAAGGACGUGACGGUACCUCAUGAAUAAGCCACGGCUAACUACGUGCCAGCAGCCGCGGUAAUACGUAGGUGGCAAGCGUUAUCCGGAUUUACUGGGUGUAAAGGGCGCGUAGGCGGGGAUGCAAGUCAGAUGUGAAAUCCAUGGGCUCAACUCAUGAACUGCAUUUGAAACUGUAUCUCUUGAGUGCUGGAGAGGUAGAUGGAAUUCCUAGUGUAGCGGUGAAAUGCGUAGAUAUUAGGAGGAACACCAGUGGCGAAGGCGGCUUGCUGGACGACAACUGACGCUGAGGCGCGAAAGCGUGGGGAGCAAACAGGAUUAGAUACCCUGGUA